rnacentral:piRNA from 1 species
UAGGAAAACUAUUCGGUCAAG